AACGAACGCUGGCGGCAUGCCUAACACAUGCAAGUCGAACGAGACCUUCGGGUCUAGUGGCGCACGGGUGCGUAACGCGUGGGAACCUGCCCUUAGGUUCGGAAUAACUCCCCGAAAGGGGUGCUAAUACCGGAUAAUGUCUUCGGACCAAAGAUUUAUCGCCUUUGGAUGGGCCCGCGUUGGAUUAGCUAGUUGGUAGGGUAAAAGCCUACCAAGGCGACGAUCCAUAGCUGGUCUGAGAGGAUGAUCAGCCACACUGGGACUGAGACACGGCCCAGACUCCUACGGGAGGCAGCAGUGGGGAAUAUUGGACAAUGGGCGAAAGCCUGCUCCAGCAAUGCCGGGUGAGUGAUGAAGGCCUUAGGGUUGUAAAGCUCUUUUACCCGGGAUGAUAAUGACAGUACCGGGAAAAUAAGCCCCGGCUAACCCCGU
rnacentral:rRNA from 1 species